GACGAACGCUGGCGGCGUGCUUAACACAUGCAAGUCGAACGGAAAGGCCCUGCUUUUGUGGGGUGCUCGAGUGGCGAACGGGGGAGUAACACGGGAGUAACCGGCCCUUGACUUUGGGAUAACUUCAGGAAACGGGGGCUAAUACCGGAUAGGAGCUCCUGCUGCAUGGUGGGGGGUGGAAAGUUUCGGCGGUUGGGGAUGGACUCGCGGCUGAUCAGCUUGUUGGUGGGGUAGUGGCUUACCAAGGCUUUGACGGGUAGCCGGCCUGAGAGGGUGACCGGCCACAUUGGGACUGCGAUACGGCCCAGACUCCUACGGGAGGCAGCAGUGGGGAAUCUUGCACAAUGGGCGGAAGCCUGAUGCAGCAACGCCGCGUGCGGGAUGACGGCCUUCGGGUUGUAAACCGCUUUCGCCUGUGACGAAGCGUGAGUGACGGUAAUGGGUAAAGAAGCACCGGCUAACUACGUG
rnacentral:rRNA from 1 species